GUCUUCGUAGCUUAUUAUAAAGCAUGGCACUGAAGAUGCCAAGAUGGUAUGCUUCUACCCGAAGACA
rnacentral:tRNA from 1 species